rnacentral:rRNA from 1 species
GAUGAACGCUGGCGGCGUGCCUAAUACAUGCAAGUCGAGCGAACAGAUAAGGAGCUUUCUCCUUUGACGUUAGCGGCGGACGGGUGAGUAACACGUGGGUAACCUACCUAUAAGACUGGGAUAACUUCGGGAAACCGGAGCUAAUACCGGCUAAUAUUUCGAACCGCAUGGUUCGAUAGUUAAUGAUGGUUUUGCUAUCACUUAUAGAUGGUCCCGCGCCGUAUUAGCUAGUUGGUAAGGUAACGGCUUACCAAGGCGACGAUACGUAGCCGACCUGAGAGGGUGAUCGGCCACACUGGAACUGAGACACGGUCCAGACUCCUACGGGAGGCAGCAGUAGGGAAUAUUCCGCAAUGGGCGAAAGCCUGACGGAGCAACGCCGCGUGAGUGAUGAAGGUCUUCGGAUCGUAAAACUCUGUUAUUAGGGAAGAACAUAAGUGUAAGUAACUGUGCACGUCUUGACGGUACCUAAUCAGAAAGCCACGGCUAACUACGUG